rnacentral:lncRNA from 1 species
UUUUCCUCCAUUAUAGGAUCAUAGUGUAAUGAUGGGGAGUAGGACAAAAGAACCAUUGGGGGAAAAUGGAAGUUGAGAGCUCUACAGUGCAUGAGGCAGGAAUGGCAGUUGGGAACUGAAGAAGGACUUCUGGGAAAUUCUCCUGAGGAGGGGGUCUUGAGUACUGAGACACAGAAGGGAGUGGAAGGAGGAGCUGUUGUUCUGGGCCAUUUUAAGACACCUUUUGUAAAUUUCUGUCACUGACAGAAAUUCUAAUAUUGAGGGUUCCUGUUAAAACAUUGUUGGUUCCUGUCAAGAAACCCAAUUUCUUCAAAGACUUUCAUUCCAUGAACUGUUGAGAUAUUGGACUCAAAUUGGAGCUGCCACUUCCUAUGAGGGAAAGUUCUUCAUUCUUUGGAAGUGGAGACUGGAAACAAUUCUUCAUUCUUUGGAGUGGAGGCUGGACCCUAGACCCUGUUGCUGGUGAGGCUGUUCUAAAAUCUCUUCCUUUGAACUGACACAGGAAAGCACUGUGAAGAUGCCUGCAGAGACCACACGCUGCACCAGAAGAUCCAAAGUGAACUUUGGGAUGCAAAUUUUAACUUUGGGGGGGGGGGGUUGAAUGCUUUUGUUUUUGAAUGUACACUCUUAUGCCAAAGGGGACUGCCCCCAAUUGGCUUUUUGUCAAUGUUCCUAUCAUUGGUUUUGUUCCUUUUCCCUUUUAUUUUCCUCUUAUCCCCAAAUUAUUGUAAUUUCCCUUUUAAAAAUGUAAUAUUUGUAUGUACCUAUAGUUCAAGUUAUAAAUUAGUUAUGUUUUCAUGACCCAUUGGGGAGAAUGGUCUCCCAAAGGAUCACAGGGGAAAUGUAUUGAUUUAGAAUCUUGAACCCUAGAGGCUAUAUUUCCCACAAUCCCCUUUUCCUUUUUCCAUGUCCCCACAUUUUUCGUGACUGUGUGAUUGUAUUUAAGUGGUGGUAAUUCCUCCCUCUUCCUCUCUUGGACCUGUGACCCGGCUGAAGUCAGGCAGUUUUAUUUUAGUUAUUAUUAAUAAAAUU